AUUGAACGCUGGCGGCAGGCCUUACACAUGCAAGUCGAACGAGUGGCGGACGGGUGAGUAAUGUCUGGAAGACUGCCUGAUGGUGGGGGCUAACCACUGGAAACGGUAGCUAAUCGCGCAUACCAUCGGCUGUGCCCAGAUGGGAUUGGCUAGUAGGUGGGGUAACGGCUCACCCAGGCGACGAUCCCUAGCUGGUCUGCGAGGAUGACCGGCAACACGGGAGUUGAGAUGCGGUCCAGACGCCUACGGGAGGAAGAAGUGGGGAAUAUUGCACAAUGGGCGCAAGCCUGCUGCAGCCCUGCGGCGUGGAUGAAGAAGGCCGUCGCGGUGUAAAGUACUUUCAGCGGGGAGGCGUUACCCGGAGAAGAAGAACCGGCUAACUCCGUGCCAGCAGCCGCGGUAAUUC
rnacentral:rRNA from 1 species